GUCCUGACCAAUUCUCCAGGCUUAUAUAUACUUCUUCAUUUGAUUGCCUUCAAAAUGGUGGGGCUCAAGAAGACCAAAUCAUCUGCCCAAAGCCAUACAACUGGGAGAGAUGGCCCAUGCCCAGGAAGCUGCCCUGGACUCCCACAGACCCUGGACAAUGGGCAGGAAUGUUACUGUACAAGAAGGAACAGCUUCCCCAUUUCCAGUAGUGGCAACAUCCCCUCCCAGACCCAUGCUGCCAUCAGCCAUUCCACCUUUGUCUGAGGAGA
rnacentral:lncRNA from 1 species